rnacentral:lncRNA from 1 species
GCGCCCGACUUUAAGAUUGGAAGUUUUUCACCAAUCAUACCUAGCACAAUUGACUAAAAAUUUGAUAGUUGGUAUCCAAUCGAGAUCCCAAAGUUCGAAUUGUUAAAUACGUCUCGAAUUUUGAAACCGCAAGAUUUUUUAAUCCUAAUCUGUUUUGAUUAUCCGAUUAAGUUAUGUUUAAAUUAUGCUCAGUUUUAAUAUUGUAUUUUUAAUUAUAUUAAAGUUUAGACGCUAUUAUAAAUAUUUUUUUUAUUAUAUAUAUUUGGUGCAGCAGAUGUAAGGGAAUACGAAGUAUCUUUUGAGACUAGAAUUUUGUAAGAGAAAUAUAUUUUGUACUCUAAUUUAAUUGUAAUGAAAGCAUUCACUCCUUCACCCAUAAAAGUAGGCUAGUGGCCAAACUAUAUAAAUAUUUAUAUACUUUGAUAUUUUCGCAUCCGACGAAUUAAAUAUUUUUCGCU